GACGAACGCUGGCGGCGUGCUUAACACAUGCAAGUCGAACGGUGAAGCGCCUUCCUUUUUGGUGGUGGGGGAGGAGGGGCGAACGGGGGGGUAACACGUGGGUAACCUGCCCCCUUCUUCUGGAUAACCCCAUGAAAGUGUGGCUAAUACGGGAUAUUCUGGGUCUGUCGCAUGAUGGGUCUGGGAAAGAUAUUGUUUCGGUGGGGGAUGGGCUCGCGGCCUAUCAGCUUGUUGGUGGGGUGAUGGCCUACCAAGGCGGUGACGGGUAGCCGGCCUGAGAGGGUGGACGGUCACACUGGGACUGAGACACGGCCCAGACUCCUACGGGAGGCAGCAGUGGGGAAUAUUGCACAAUGGGCGCAAGCCUGAUGCAGCGACGCCGCGUGAGGGAUGGAGGCCUUCGGGUUGUGAACCUCUUUCGCCAGUGAAGCAGGCCUGCCUCGUUUGUGGGUGGGUUGACGGUAGCUGGAUAAGAAGCGCCGGCUAACUACGUG
rnacentral:rRNA from 1 species